UACGUAGGAGGCGAGCGUUGUCCGGAAUUACUGGGCGUAAAGCGUGCGCAGGCGGUUCGCUAAGACAGAUGUGAAAUCCCCGGGCUUAACCUGGGAACUGCAUUUGUGACUGGCGGGCUAGAGUAUGGCAGAGGGGGGUAGAAUUCCACGUGUAGCAGUGAAAUGCGUAGAGAUGUGGAGGAAUACCGAUGGCGAGGGCAGCCCCCUGGGCCAAUACUGACGCUCAUGCACGAAAGCGUGGGGAGCAAACAGG
rnacentral:rRNA from 1 species